UACGUAGGGGGCAAGCGUUGUCCGGAUUUAUUGGGCGUAAAGAGCGUGUAGGCGGCUUGGUAGGUCCGCUGUGAAAACUCGAGGCUCAACCUCGAGAUGUCGGCGGAAACCACUUGGCUAGAGUCCGGAAGAGGAGAGUGGAAUUCCUGGUGUAGCGGUGAAAUGCGCAGAUAUCGGGAGGAACACCAAUGGCGAAGGCAGCUCGCUGGGACGUGACUGACGCUGAGACGCGAAAGCGUGGGGAGCAAACAGG
rnacentral:rRNA from 1 species